ensembl:miRNA
UCAGCCUGUGGUACUCAAACUAUGGGGGCACUUUUUUGUUCUGGAAUAAAGUGCCACCAAGUUUUGAGCGCUACCGGUUGA